GAACGAACGCUGGCGGCAUACCUAACACAUGCAAGUCGAACGAGACCUUCGGGUCUAGUGGCGCACGGGUGCGUAACGCGUGGGAACCUGCCCUUAGGUUCGGAAUAACUCCCCGAAAGGGGUGCUAAUACCGGAUAAUGUCUUCGGACCAAAGAUUUAUCGCCUUUGGAUGGGCCCGCGUUGGAUUAGCUAGUUGGUAGGGUAAAAGCCUACCAAGGCGACGAUCCAUAGCUGGUCUGAGAGGAUGAUCAGCCACACUGGGACUGAGACACGGCCCAGACUCCUACGGGAGGCAGCAGUGGGGAAUAUUGGACAAUGGGCGAAAGCCUGAUCCAGCAAUGCCGCGUGAGUGAUGAAGGCCUUAGGGUUGUAAAGCUCUUUUACCCGGGAUGAUAAUGACAGUACCGGGAGAAUAAGCUCCGGCUAACUCCGUG
rnacentral:rRNA from 1 species